rnacentral:rRNA from 1 species
GACGAACGCUGGCGGCGUGCCUAAUACAUGCAAGUCGAGCGCAGGAAGCCGUCUGAACCCUUCGGGGGGACGACGGUGGAAUGAGCGGCGGACGGGUGAGUAACACGUAAAGAACCUGCCCACGGGUCUGGGAUAACCACGAGAAAUCGGGGCCAAUACCGGACGGGUCAUCGGACCGCAUGGUCCGAGGAUGAAAGGCGCUCCGGCGUCGCCCGUGGAUGGCUUUGCGGUGCAUUAGCUAGUUGGUGGGGUAACGGCCCACCAAGGCGACGAGGCAUAGCCGACCUGAGAGGGGGAUCGGCCACACUGGGACGGAGACACGGCCCAGACUCCUACGGGAGGCAGCAGUAGGGAAUCUUCCACAAUGGACGAAAGUCUGAUGGAGCAACGCCGCGUGAACGAUGAAGGCCCUCGGGUCGUAAAGUUCUGUUGUAAGGGAAGAACAAGUGCCGCAGGCAAUGGCGGCACCUUGACGGUACCUUGCGAGAAAGCCACGGCUAACUACGUGCCAGCCGCCGCGGUAAGAC